GUGGGUUUGGGGCACCGCCAAGUCCUUAGAGUUUUAAGCGUUUGUGCUCGUAGUUCUCAGGCGGAUACAUGGGUGUGUGAGUAUCUAGAUUUAGGGCUAG
rnacentral:rRNA from 1 species